rnacentral:tRNA from 1 species
GAAUUAGUAACUUAAUUGGUAAAGAACUUUCCUGUCACGAAAGGAGAUAAGGGUUCGAGUCCCUUUUAAUUCG